AUUUAUUGAAAAGCGCCAGGACUGUUUGCUGAAGCAGCAGCACAGUUGACGAGGAGGAGGUUCAUCGAACGUUCGGCGGAUGCCUCCCAGUUGCCGCACUCAACUGGAAGUUCAAAGGUUAAACCAAAGAGGCGACUCUUUGCUCAAAUCCUUUGAACAAAGUGAUU
rnacentral:ncRNA from 2 species